CAAGCAUUUGUAGCUGAACCAAACAUUAAUUGCAAUCAUAGAGUUAGGUGAUUUCUCAAUACCUUGAGAGAAGAGAAGGUAGAAUGGUGUCAGGGUCAGGUUUGAUAUUAUCCAAGUUAAAGAGGGAUUAAAAGACAGAGCCUCUGAAUGUCAUCUGUGUGCACAUAGAGACUGUAUGAAGAAGGAGAUAGAAGUCUUAUGAGGGGCAAAUGGGAGUUUUUUUGGUAAUGUCAUAUUCACAAAUGAGCAGUUCAGAGCCCUGAAGGAGAGACUGCUUUUCUCAGGAGCCACUUCCUGACUCCUGGUGGGAGCGCCCUAGUGGACCCCUUGAAACCCAGAACUCACAUAAUGAGCAUUUAGUUGAUAAUUUAAUCAGUGUCCUCUUCAAAUUUUAUGAUGUUUACUGAAUCACCCAUUUGGAAAUGUCCAGUUUCUUCUUUGAGAUUGUAAAUAAACUCAGUAAAAGUUUAACUUUCAUUUUUUUCCAUCCUUGACAAUCAGAAAAUUGCUAGGUUCAAAAAAGGUCCCAGACAUUAAACAAAAUGGUUUUUUUUUUCCUUCAUAAUAGUCUUCCCUUACUGCUGUACUAUGUGAUAAGGUUAAUAUAACAACUGCCAUAAGGAUCAUUAAUACAGGGAGAUAAGCAAAGUUGCAUGCUGGAAACAUUUGCAGGGUAUCAUUUGCCUUUUCUGCUGAUAAAGAAGCCUUCAGUAACAAAUACAGAUCACAGGCACUGAAUAUUUAACUUUUGAGACAGAAAUUCCAAUUGAUCUUUCCUAAUAUGUUAUUAUUCAUAAAUACUUUUUAAAGUUGGGUACUGACUGCUCUCAAAAUAGGAUUUUAAAAAAUUUGUAUGUUACCUACCUUUUAAAGUUUACAAUCAAACAAUUUACUUUUUAAUAUGACAAAUAUUUAUAACUUGCAAAAACAAAGAUUUCCAUGCCCCUCUCUUCAUUCUUAUUUUUCUUUUUUGAAAAUUGUCUUAAUUUCAACCAAAUUCCAAAGUAAAGAAUUUCCCUUUUAGUUAGUGAUAAUGGGAUUUGAUCUAUCAAUGAAGUGCGCAGUAUAAGGAUUUGUUUUUUAUUAUCUUGUUAACAAGUGAUUUCUUUAGUUUUGGCUCCAUUUAAAUGAAUGCAUAAAGAUAAAUGCUAGAAAUUUGCAUCACUAUAUUAAUGUUAUCCUUCACACUGAGAGCAAAAAGGGAGCCAGUAUUUGUUAUUGGUAGUAGUAUUUCAGUGAGAAGGCAAUGAGGAUAAACAAUUGAUACCAGCAAGACUUGGCUAACUAGUAUAAACCAUGACAAGGGCGAUUAAUAGUGUAUAUAAACACACUUCAAGUUUGUAUACAUGAUCUCAGCUCUCACCUAGCGAUUUCUUAGUAUUUUUUUAAAGGGUGAUUUGUAAGUUGGCAGUUACAAGGCUAUCAACUCAUGUGCUGUGUGUACUGUUUAUAUAUUAGAGGUAUGGAAUAGACAUACUGAAGUGUGAUUUACCGGAGAGAGUGUUGAUUUGGAAGGAUGUCUGGUGAAUCAGGUUGUGGCUCUGUGGCUGGCACGUACCCAAAGGCAGUUCCCAACCUCUCUGGACCUCAAUUUCCUCCUCAGUACAAUAAAAAGACUGGAUACAGAACUUUCUAAAGGUGUUCCCUAUAGCGCUAGUUCUGAAGAAUGCUAAUAAAAAAAAAAAAAAAAAGCAGGAUGGAGGUUUCCAUGGCCAGUUACGUUUUGGACACGUUGGGCUAAAUAAAGUUUAAUAUUAAUUUUUCUGCAGGACUUCUCAGUGACUUUCAUAUGGUAUUAUUCACUGUGACGCCAGGGCAGUGGCUCACACCUGUAAUACUAGCACUCUGGGAGGCCGAAGCAGGUGGAUCGCUGGAGGCUAGGAGUUUGAGACCAGCCUGGGUAAGGUGGCAAAAACCGAUCUCUACAAAGAAAAAAAAAAAAAAAA
ensembl:lncRNA